rnacentral:rRNA from 1 species
GACGAACCGUGCGAACGUUGUUCGGAAUCACUGGGCUUAAAGGGCGCGUAGGCGGCUUGCCAAGUCAGUGGUGAAAUCCUGCAGCUUAACUGUAGAAGUGCCGGUGAUACUGGCGAGCUCGAGGGAGGUAGGGGUCUGUGGAACUUCUGGUGGAGCGGUGAAAUGCGUUGAUAUCAGAAGGAACGCCGGUGGCGAAAGCGACGGACUGGAUCUCUUCUGACGCUGAGGCGCGAAAGCUAGGGGAGCAAACGGG